GACGAACGCUGGCGGCGUGCUUAACACAUGCAAGUCGAACGGAAAGGCCCCUUUGGGGGUACUCGAGUGGCGAACGGGUGAGUAACACGUGAGUAACCUGCCCUUGACUUCGGGAUAACUUCAGGAAACUGGGGCUAAUACCGGAUAGGAAUCCUUGCUGCAUGGUGGGGGGUGGAAAGCUUCGGCGGUUUUGGAUGGACUCGCGGCUUAUCAGCUUGUUGGUGGGGUAGUGGCUUACCAAGGCUUUGACGGGUAGCCGGCCUGAGAGGGCGACCGGCCACAUUGGGACUGGGAUCCGGCCCAGACUCCUACGGGAGGCAGCAGGGGGGAAUAUUGCACCAUGGGCGGAAGCCUGAUGCAGCAACGCCGCGUGCGGGAUGACGGCCUUCGGGUUGUAAACCGCUUUCAGCAGGGGCGAAGCUUGUGGUGACGGUACCUGCAGAAGAAGCACCGGCUAACUACGUG
rnacentral:rRNA from 1 species